rnacentral:rRNA from 1 species
UAAUACGAAGGGACCUAGCGUAGUUCGGAAUUACUGGGCUUAAAGAGCUCGUAGGUGGUUAGAAAAGUUGGUGGUGAAAUCCCAAGGCUUAACCUUGGAACUGCCACCAAAACUUUUUGACUUAGAGUAUGAUAGAGGAAAGUGGAAUUUCUAGUGUAGAGGUGAAAUUCGUAGAUAUUAGAAAGAACACCAAUUGCGAAGGCAACUUCCUGGAUCAUUACUGACACUGAGGAGCGAAAGCAUGGGUAGCGAAGAGGAUUAGAUACCCUCGUAGUCCAUGCCGUAAACGAUGUGUGCUAGACGUUGGAAAUUUAAUUUUCAGUGUCGCAGCGAAAGCAUUAAGCACACCGCCUGGGGAGUACGACCGCAAGGUUA